GUGUAUAGGGUGGGGAGUGUAGGACAGGUGUGGGAUAGAGAGGUGUAUAUAAGGGUUGGGAGUGUAUGAUAGGUGUGGGAUAGAGAGGUGUAUAGGGUGGGGAGUGUAGGAUAGGUGUGGGAUAGAGAGGUGUAUAGGGUGGGGAGUGUAGGACAGGUGUGGGAUAGAGAGGUGUAUAGGGUGGGGAGUGUAGGAUAGGUGUGGGACAGAGAGGUGUAUAGGAUGGGGAGUGUAUGAUAGGUGUGGGAUAGAGAGGUGUAUAGGGUGGGGAGUGUAGGAUAGGUGUGGGAUAGAGAGGUGUAUAGGGUGGGGAGUGUAGGAUAGGUGUGGGAUAGAGAGGUGUAUAGGGUGGGGAGUGUAUGAUAGGUGUGGGAUAGAGAGGUGUAUAGGGUGGGGAGUGUAUGAUAGGUGUGGGAUAGAGAGGUGUAUAGGGUGGGGAGUGUAGGAUAGGUGUGGGAUAGAGAGGUGUAUAGGGUGGGGAGUGUAUGAUAGGUGUGGGAUAGAGAGGUGUAUAGGGUGGGGAGUGUAUGAUAGGUGUGGGAUAGAGAGGUGUAUAGGGUGGGGAGUGUAGGAUAGGUGUGGGAUAGAGAGGUGUAUAGGGUGGGGAGUGUAGGAUAGGUGUGGGAUAGAGAGGUGUAUAGGGUGGGGAGUGUAGGAUAGGUGUGGGAUAGAGAGGUGUGUAGGGUGGGGAGUGUAUGAUAGGUGUGGGAUAGAGAGGUGUAUAGGGUGGGGAGUGUAUGAUAGGUGUGGGAUAGAGAGGUGUAUAGGGUGGGGAGUGUAGGAUAGGUGUGGGAUAGAGAGGUGUAUAGGGUGGGGAGUGUAGGAUAGGUGUGGGAUAGAGAGGUGUAUAGGGUGGGGAGUGUAGGAUAGGUGUGG